rnacentral:misc_RNA from 1 species
UCCAGGUUAUCCCUGGCGGUCUCCUGCGAGUUCCGUCUUUCGACAUGGCAACACAGGACAAGGGUUGCGCUCGUUGCGGGACUUAACCCAACAUCUCACGACACGAGCUGACGACAGCCAUGCAGCACCUAUACUACGGUCCUUUUAAGGGGAAGAUCUGCUUUCACAGACUGUCCAUAGCAUUUCGAGCCUAGGUAAGGUUCUUCGCGUUGCGUCGAAUUGAACCACAUGCUCCACCGCUUGUGCGGGCCCCCGUCAAUUCCUUUGAGUUUCAGCCUUGCGACUGUACUCCCCAGGCGGCAUAUUUAACGCGUUAGCUCCGGCACGGAUCAACUGAAUGACCCACACCAAAUAUGCAUCGUUUAGGGCGUGGACUAC